rnacentral:rRNA from 1 species
GACGAACGCUGGCGGCGUGCCUAAUACAUGCAAGUCGAACGAAGCUGUUUUAACUGGUGCUUGCACCGACUUAAACAACUGAGUGGCGAACGGGUGAGUAACACGUGGGUAACCUGCCCCAAAGCGGGGGAUAACAUUUGGAAACAGAUGCUAAUACCGCAUAACCACAGAAACCACAUGGUUUCUGUGUCAAAGAUGGUUUCGGCUAUCACUUUGGGAUGGACCCGCGGCGUAUUAGCUAGUUGGUAAGGUAAUGGCUUACCAAGGCAAUGAUACGGUGCCGAACUGAGAGGUUGAUCGGCCACAUUGGGACUGAGACACGGCCCAAACUCCUACGGGAGGCAGCAGUAGGGAAUCUUCCACAAUGGACGAAAGUCUGAUGGAGCAACGCCGCGUGAGUGAAGAAGGUUUUCGGAUCGUAAAACUCUGUUGUCAGAGAAGAACGUGUGCGAGAGUAACUGCUCGUGCAGUGACGGUAUCUGGCCAGAAAGCCACGGCUAACUACGUGCCAGCAGCCGCGGUAA